UACGUAGGGUGCGAGCGUUGCCCGGAUUUAUUGGGCGUAAAGGGCGCGUAGGCGGCUCGGCACGUCCGUUGUGAAAUCGCCCGGCUCAACUGGGCGGGGUCAGCGGAUACGGUCGAGCUUGAGCAAGCUAGGGGGUAAUGGAAUUCCCGGUGUAGUGGUGGAAUGCGUAGAUGUCGGGAGGAACACCAGUGGCGAAGGCGGUUACCUGGGGCUUUGCUGACGCUGAUGCGCGAAAGCGUGGGGAGCGAUCCGG
rnacentral:rRNA from 1 species